rnacentral:rRNA from 1 species
CAGUAGCCACGGGAAUACGUAGGGGGCAAGCGUUAUCCGGAAUUAUUGGGCGUAAAGAGUACGUAGGUGGCUAUAUAAGCGCAUGGUGAAAGGCAGAGGCUUAACCACUGUUAGCCUUGCGAACUGUAUAGCCUGAGUGCAGGAGAGGGAAGCGGAAUUCCUAGUGUAGCGGUGAAAUGCGUAGAUAUUAGGAGGAACACCAGUGGCGAAGGCGGCUUUCUGGACUGUAACUGACACUGAGGUACGAAAGCGUGGGGAGCAAACAGGAUUAGAUACCCCUGUAGUCCCUGUCUCUUAUACA